UGAUCAUUAUUUUCAGAUGAC
rnacentral:piRNA from 1 species